rnacentral:tRNA from 1 species
GCGGGGGUGCCCGAGCAUGGUCAAAGGGGGCGGACUUAAGAUCACUAUAGGAGAUCCGCUGGAGUAGUCCUGCGCGGGUUCAAAUCCCGCCCCCCGCA